UAAGCUUUACCCCAGGAGAUACCCUACGUGCCUCUCCGUUCGAGGCAAGAAUAUAAUGGGGUUUACCGUGCCCUUCAAAAGGCUGGUCCACAGAAAUCCCCUACUGCAAUGAUUAAUUAAUAUAUAAUCCAUCAAUUUAAUAAAAUUCAAUAACAUGAUAUGGCAAUUUAUCGCAACCUAACCUCUCAAGGUUGAAUACACAGUACAAAUAAUUCUAACACCAAAAUCAAUUUAGCCAUUCAUGCUCAUAUAUUGUCAUAAGCCAUUCAAUUUAAAACCAUAAAUUUACAACACAAGUAGGCAGUCUCCAAUUACUCUAUUUUCAAAACCAGUAUUCGAUUUUCCAGAAAAUUUAUAAAAUCAUUUUAUAAAAUCACUAUUUCUCCUAAAACAUAGCAAUUUACCAUUUAAACCUAUUUUCUAUAAAAUCACACAAUUAUAUAAAAUUACUCUAGAUAAUUAAGACGAUAAUAAGUUUACUCACAGUUCUAGGAGUCGAUGUACUCCUAAUCCCAAUCUCCAAGCACAAUCUCUGUACUUUUACCAGUGUACUUUGCUCACCACCUAUCCACAAUGUACAAUACAUAAUUCACCACAUCAAUGCUUGACCAUUAUAAAAUCAAUUCAGGCUCGGUAUAUAUGCAUGAUAUGAUAUACAACUUAUCCGACUACCGCUUAAAUGCGGUGCUGACCUAAUUCGGCCUAUUAUCUCCAAUUUAACUCCAAAUCAAUUCUUCUCACUUUCUACACUCCAAUUAUACCUAAAUUACCUCCAUGACUGUGAAUGAGAUUCAAUUUAUCAGUCUCGAUAGCAAAUUACGAAAAUACCCCUAGUGGGUAAAAAUUCAUAUUUUUGCUCUGAAAAUUCUCAUUAUUUUUUUAGGCUCAUAAUUCAUCAUUAUUCAUCAUAAUUCCUCAAAUAAACAUCAAGAUCAGCAGCCAAUAUUCCCCUAGAAAAUUCGGCCAAUAAUGGUAAUGGAGGAAAAUGAAUUCUUUUCUUGUUGUUUUGUUUCUAAAUAUGCUAAACUAACUAAAAACACUAACAUAACUUAAAAUCAAAUUAAUCUAAGUUCAUUCUCUCUCCAUACCCAUUUGGGCAGCCAUGAAUUCACCAUGAAAACAUGAAAUCUAAACAUGGAAAAUAUGGAGAAAAGCAUGGGAAAGGUAGAUCACAAGUCGAAAUCAAGAAAUUUUACCUUUGAUUGCUUGAUUCCUUGAAAUCCACCAAUUUUCCUUUAAUUUUUCCACCUAGGUUUCUUGCUUUUUUUCCUUUCCUCCUCUUGUUCUUCCUUUUUCUUUGUUUGG
rnacentral:lncRNA from 1 species